rnacentral:sRNA from 6 species
GCACCUUAUAAAGCGGGUGCCGGGAUUGGCGUCCUGAAAUUCGCACAUGCGCAUAACCGCGCUUCAGCGGUUUUUUU